UACGAAGGGUGCAAGCGUUACUCGGAAUUACUGGGCGUAAAGCGUGCGUAGGUGGUGAGUUAAGUCUGUCGUGAAAGCCCCGGGCUCAACCUGGGAAUUGGCGAUGGAUACUGGCUCGCUAGAGUGCGGUAGAGGAGAGUGGAAUCCGGUGUAGCAGUGAAAUGCGUAGAGAGUCGGGAGGAACAUCAGUUGCGGAAGGCGGCUCUCUGGACCAGCACUGACACUGAGGCACGAAAGCGUGGGGAGCAACAGG
rnacentral:rRNA from 1 species